GGCUGGUCGUUGCAGGUCACAUGCAGCGAAUCUUAACGACGAGUCAAAAAAUCUUCCAUUUAUCCAGAAAUCUCCACGGAGGGACUCAGUCGCAGGAGUCGUGCGCUAACCAAACUCGUCAAUAUAUCAGAUGCGAGAGACCUUUAAUUUGCAAGUGGCAUGGAGCUAGACUUUAUCAGUUACAGUGCGAGCUAGCUUAGCUUGCGCGGUAGAAGGCCACGGAGCUAGCGAGGGCACCCCCUGCAGCUAGCUAGCUCGCCGUCUGGAUUGAUAUCCAUGCUGUGGCUUUAUCAAGUGAACAGUCCUUAGCUGAUGCACCUCUUGUUCAUUGUCUGUUCGACCUCGAAUUGAACCUCAGCUCCCCCCGACUAUUGGAGUAUAUAUGAUGAUCAAAAUAAUGAUGUUGGAGGUCCCGAUGCAAUUUACAAAGAGGUCUCUAAUAGGAAUAAUGAAUGAAGAUGGUGAUAAAAUUGGAAAACCAUAUGUUCAGUCUGAUUUGACAGUAAGAAGAUGGAUAUUAAGUUCUUCAAGAAGAGGCCGAUCGAAUGCAUGCACUUAAUUUGAUGGGAGUAGGGUUAGUAGAUUGUCUGAAACUUUCCUGUUGGAUUGGAUCUAGCAUGAGUUUGGUUUUGUGGUUUUAGUUAUAGAGGAAAUUUUGAAAUAAAGGAAAUUACUAGGGUGUUAUUUU